rnacentral:lncRNA from 1 species
UUUUUUUUUCUCAAAGCAGUUUUUCAUUACUUUGUCCCAACAAUUGGGUGUAAUGGCCAGAUCAGGUGCAUAUUUUGCAGCUAAAUGUAGCAUAUUGUCACAUGUACUAAUUAUAUUCACAUAUGUCGUCACUAAGCUCCUGACUGCUUCCAUCAUGAGCAGUAGAGAAAAGAUUCUUUCGUUACGAUUCUCAAUAGAGAUAUGGAAGAUGGUUCGAUCAUCCCUAUCGACUUUCCAUAUGAGUUCAGGAUAGUAGUGAAAGGAACACGUUCAAGUAUUCAAAGUCAAAAAAUAGUAGCUUAGGUGGCCUUGAAAUUAUAUUUGAAAUAUCCAAGCCUUCAUCGAUGAGCUAUAUAACUCAGUUGGUGUGCUAGGCUUCUUGCAAAUCAAGAGCUCCGAAGCUCAAACCCCCUCCCCAAAUUAGUAAAAAAAAUAAUUCCAAAGGCUAUAUACAAGAGCAUGAAAAUUGGUUUUAG